rnacentral:rRNA from 1 species
UGUUUUUAUUUUUGUGGUAAAGAAAUUUUUUAAAGUAUUUAAUGUCUUUACCUUUUGUAUCAGGGUUAUAUUAAUAACAAAAAAGGUUUAACCCGACAUUUCUAGAGAGAAGUUAAAAUUAUUUUGUCGUAACAAAGAUUUUUUAUUUUAAUUAAGUGACGAUAGCUUAAACGAUAGGGAAAUUAUCUGGAUUUCAUUUUUGAAAAUAUUUAGAGGAGCUAAAUAUCUUAUUUCAAAAAAGCGAUUUUUUUGUUUUUUGGGUUUUAUAAUGGCUAGAAUAAGAGUGUGUUAUUAUUCAGUAAAUGCGUGGUAUUAUUGUUUUUAUUAAUGUGAGAGAUUGUUGUUUUAAAAAAAGAUAGUAUAUUGUAUAAAUAAGUAGAAUUAUAAGAUUAUAUAGAGAACUCACCUGCUCUAUUAAAUGUUUAACAAAAACAUUGUUUUAUUAAUAUAAAAUAUGGCCUGCCCACUGAAAAUUUAAAUGGCUGCGGUAUAUUAACUGUGCUAAGGUAGCAUAAUAAUUUGUCUUUUAAUUGGGGGCUAGAAUGAAGGGUUAUAUAAUAGUGUAAUUUUUAUAUAAUUUAUUUGAAUUUAAAGUUUAGGUAAAAAUUCCUAGAUUUUUAAAAAAGACGAUAAGACCCUAAAAGCUUUAUUUUUUAUUUCUACUAAAAAAAUUAAUAUUUAUUUUUAUAGGAAUUAAAAUUUUUGGCUGGGGUAGCAAUUUUGUUUUGGUAAAAUAAAACGUAACUUUUGAGGUAAAGAGAACCUUUAUAUUAUGGUACUUGUUUAAGUUACUUUAGGGAUAACAGCAUAAUAUCUUUGGAGAGACCUUAUCAAUAAAGAAGCUUGUGACCUCGAUGUUGAAUUAAAAUAUCCGAUUAGAGCAGUAUUUAAAUUGGGAAGGUUUGUUCAACCUUUAAAUUUUUACAUGAUUUGAGUUCAAACCGGUUUAAGCCAGGUUGGUUUCUAUCUUUUUAAGUUAUAGAUAUUUUUGUAGUACGAGAGGACCUAAAAGUGUUUUA